UGUGAAACUGUAGCGCAAUGGAUAGCGUGUUGAACUUCUAAUCCAAAGGUCGUGGGUUCGAAUCCCACGUGGCAUAA